rnacentral:rRNA from 1 species
AGUCGAGCGAAAGAUAAGGAGCUUGCUCCUUUGACGUUAGCGGCGGACGGGUGAGUAACACGUGGGUAACCUACCUAUAAGACUGGGAUAACUUCGGGAAACCGGAGCUAAUACCGGAUAACAUUUGGAACCGCAUGGUUCUAAAGUGAAAGAUGGUUUUGCUAUCACUUAUAGAUGGACCCGCGCCGUAUUAGCUAGUUGGUAAGGUAACGGCUUACCAAGGCGACGAUACGUAGCCGACCUGAGAGGGUGAUCGGCCACACUGGAACUGAGACACGGUCCAGACUCCUACGGGAGGCAGCAGUAGGGAAUCUUCCGCAAUGGGCGAAAGCCUGACGGAGCAACGCCGCGUGAGUGAUGAAGGGUUUCGGCUCGUAAAACUCUGUUAUUAGGGAAGAACAAACGUGUAAGUAACUGUGCACGUCUUGACGGUACCUAAUCAGAAAGCCACGGCUAACUACGUGCCAGCAGCCGCGGUAAUACGUAGGUGGCAAGCGUUAUCCGGAAUUAUUGGGCGUAAAGCGCGCGUAGGCGGUUUCUUAAGUCUGAUGUGAAAGCCCACGGCUCAACCGUGGAGGGUCAUUGGAAACUGGGAAACUUGAGUGCAGAAGAGGAAAGUGGAAUUCCAUGUGUAGCGGUGAAAUGCGCAGAGAUAUGGAGGAACACCAGUGGCGAAGGCGACUUUCUGGUCUGUAACUGACGCUGAUGUGCGAAAGCGUGGGGAUCAAACAGGAUUAGAUACCCUGGUAGUCCACGCCGUANACGAUGAGUGCUAAGUGUUAGGGGGUUUCCGCCCCUUAGUGCUGCAGCUAACGCAUUAAGCACUCCGCCUGGGGAGUACGACCGCAAGGUUGAAACUCAAAGGAAUUGA